rnacentral:lncRNA from 1 species
AUUAGCGAUUAAAUGACACCAACGGGCUCCAUUACUUGUAAAGAUUAAAUGAAGGUAUCAGAGUGGGUAGUCGAUCACAGAGUAGGGGAGUUACGAAGUCGAGUCUUGGAUUAGGUACCUUUCUUCGUCGAGGAGGUCUAAAGCCUUUCCAUGCGCGGUCGUUUCGCCACCUGCAUCUCCCGUCAACCGCCCACCGGGUUUCCACGUUACAGGCCCGACCGAUCACCUCGACGUCUCUUUCCCCCACCGACGAUCGCGGCCUCAUACUGCCGCUUGUAAAUGCUGUUUCCACGCACUUCCUCCUCCAAUCCCUUCCUCCUUCCUCUAUCUCUCUGCCUUCAGAUGGCCG